rnacentral:rRNA from 1 species
GUUUAAGCCGCCGCGGUAAUACGUAGGUGGCAAGCGUUGUCCGGAUUUACUGGGCGUAAAGGGCUUGUAGGCGGUCCGUUAAGUCUGGUGUGAAAUCUCCCGGCUCAACCGGGAGGGGUCAUCGGAUACUGGCGGACUAGAGACGGGUAGAGGAAAGCAGAAUUCCCGGUGUAGCGGUGAAAUGCGUAGAUAUCGGGAGGAAUACCAGUGGCGAAGGCGGCUUUCUGGGCCUGUUCUGACGCUGAGGAGCGAAAGCGUGGGGAGCAAACCGGAUUAGAAACCCUCGUAGUCC